UUCACUCUGGCCUUUCCUCUGGAUAAGCUUGCUCCAAAGAGAGCCUGGAAGCACGGCUGAAGCAUGGGCCAGAGGAAACUAUCUGGAGGCAAAACAUUACUCUGUGGUUGCCUCAGGUUUGUGGGCAAAAUGCAAAAAAUACUCUGGGAUUUUCUUCAGACUCGGUAAGAACCCCUGUAUGAAAUUGUGGUCUCAGAAGGCCACCAGCCCAGCCGAGCUCUGCUGGUUCAAGGGCUUUGCUCCCAAUCUCCCUUGAACGAGGCUUUUAGGUGGUAUCUCUAGGGGCAAUGACUGAGCGAUCUUGGGAGGCGACACCAGACGCAGGAGAGCAGAACGGGCCCCUGGAGGCCAGCAUGACUUCACAGCGGUGACACUGGGGACCUUGAAUUUGCUCCUGGACAGGCAAUGACAGAACUGGGGCCAAAGCCCCUGAUCUGGUCUCUAUUCAUUAAGCAGUGGCUGAAAUGCCCGUGUCUCUUUCGAGGCACAGAAUGGGAAUUCCUUGUGAUGAAGGAUUCCCAGUCUGCAACACUGGACUGAUAUGGACUCAAAAACACCCCUGUGAGUUUUUCCACCUUCCCAUCACUCCCAUCUUUGUCAUCUCCUCCCCGACUGUGCAGCAUGGGGUCUGCAGGAUCUCUGCAGUUUGGACAUGUGGAGAAGGAUGCUUUCUUCUCCUGCCCCACCAAACUCAGCCGUCGCGUCUCGGCGCUCCUGCUCCGUGCAUGUCCCAGAGCUGCCUUCCUGCCAGCCAGCGACGGGGGACCAGGAUCGCUGAGAAGUGGAGCAUGUCAUCAGCAAGCUGUUAAUGCCGGAGCCCUCGGGGUGGGCAGGAUGGGCACCACGGUCCUGAGCGCCGCCGGGCUGUGCCAGCCCUGCCGUUCCCACGCCGGGGCCAAACCUCCUUCUCCCCCUUCUCCAUCCCAUCUCUGAGGUUAUCUCAGCUGCUCCCAGGGUAGGAAACAACGAAACCGCUUCCCUUGCACAGGACGAACUCGCCCAGGCGCAUCCGGAGCAGCACUGCAGCCCUUAUAUGACUGUAAGUUUAGGGGAGAGGGGGAAAAGGAGUGAUUUAUCUGUAUAGCUGGGAUUUU
rnacentral:lncRNA from 1 species